rnacentral:rRNA from 1 species
GUUUAACGGCCGCAGUACUCUAACCGCGCAAAGGUAGCAUAAUCACUUGUCUUUUAAAUGAAGACUCGUAUCAACGGCAUCACGAGGGUUCCGCUGUCUCCUUUUUCUAAUCAGUGAAACUAAUCCCCCCGUGAAGAAGCGGGGAUAAAUCUAUAAGACGAGAAGACCCCAUGGAGCUUUAAACCUAGCUGUACACCCCCCCCCACCCAUAUCCUCUACCAACGGGGGCCCCUCAUGCCAGGUUUUAGGUUGGGGCGACCACGGAGCACAAUCAAACCUCCAUGAUGAACGAGCCUAAUCUCUUAUCCAAGAAAUACACCUCUAAGAAUUAGUAUACUAACAUAAAAUGAUCCUCUAUUGAUCAACGAACCAAGUUACCCUGGGGAUAACAGCGCAAUCCAUUUCAAGAGCCCUUAUCGACAAAUGGGUUUACGACCUCGAUGUUGGAUCAGGGUAUCCUAGUGGUGCAGCAGCUACUAAAGGUUCGUUUGUUCAACGAUUAAAACCCU